rnacentral:lncRNA from 1 species
AGGACACAAAAUCUUGGAGACCUUUUACAUCCAACUGUUGUUCAGCUGAAGACCAAACAAUAUUUGGCAAUUUUAGUAGGUGCAAAACCUCGAAAUCGGAAUUUUCGAAGAACCUAGGUCCAUUGCCAUCGUUUCGUAGGUUGUCAUUUUCGGAUUUGAGCAGGUCCUCAUCAACGCGAAUUAACGAGGAUCUUGCUCAAACAUUUGGACCUGACUUGUUUGAUUUCCAGUUGAGUGAACUGCGCGCGAUAACACAGAAUUUCUCGACGAAUUAUCUGCUCGGUGAAGGUGGAUUUGGGACAGUGCAUAAGGGGUAUGUUGAUGAGAAUUUGAGAAAUGGUUUGAAAUCUCAAGCGGUU